GAGGAAUUCGUGGAUAAGCGUCCACAAUACCGCUGCCUAGUGUUCGGUUUCAACAAUGAAAGAUCAUACGUGGAAAAUUCCUGGUUUUUCGACCUGGCCGGAAAACGGAAGUGCAUCAUAUUCGAGCACGACCCUCACUCGCCGACGAAUCCGAGUGUGAGUAUAAAUCCUCCAUUAUCAUGGACUCACAGGAAUGAAAGGAACUAGAUUUGACAAUGACCGCGUUUGGAACGAUGCUCGUGAACAGUGAGCUUGGUUCAAAUCUGAAAAGUGCAACAAUCCAGCUGCAUUCUCGGCAUACCUUAGAAUUCCUCUGUAACUAUAAAACCGACGAUUUUCGACAGCCCAUUUUCGUGCCCAUUUUAUGGGCACGAACUCGCUCGAUUCUUUUUUACACUAACAAAGUCCUAAUUCUACACUUUAAUCUCCUGUAAUAAUAUUUUAGGUCCAACCGAAAUCGUUAUCCUACAUCUUGAACAUACUUUGAGAGAUUUCCAUGCAGAGUUGAUUUUGCUUGUUCGUGAAAAAAUCAGAACCAAAAUUUGGCGAUGUACUGUACCUCGUACAUUAAAAUUACGUAAUACGAUGUCAGGAGUGUUCCACAAUCUUCUGCCACACUUAUUAUCAGUUAAAACAAUUUUACUAUAUUCGAAUCAUUUAUGCAUCAAUAAUCUGUUGAAUUUAAUAGAUUUUCAUUCCGCAGAACAAUUUUAUCGUAAUGUGUGAUUCUUUCAUGUGUACAGUAUAAUUUAAUAAAUCGUUUAUGCA